rnacentral:rRNA from 1 species
UACGGAGGGAGCUAGCGUUAUUCGGAAUUACUGGGCGUAAAGCGCACGUAGGCGGCUUUGUAAGUUAGAGGUGAAAGCCUGGAGCUCAACUCCAGAAUUGCCUUUAAGACUGCAUCGCUUGAAUCCAGGAGAGGUGAGUGGAAUUCCGAGUGUAGAGGUGAAAUUCGUAGAUAUUCGGAAGAACACCAGUGGCGAAGGCGGCUCACUGGCCCGGUACUGACGCUGAGAUACGAAAGCGUGGGGAGCAAACGGG